GAUCAACGCUGGCGGCGUGCAUAACACAUGCAAGUCGAACGAAGUGGCGAACGGGUUAGUAACACGUGAGUCACCUGCCUUACACAAGGGGAUAGCCUUUGGACAAGAAGAAUAAUACCAUAUAGGUUAAGAUGGACUUGCGUCUGCUUGGCUAGUUGGUGAGAUCAAAGACCACCAAGGCGACUAUCAGUAGCCGGUGUGAGAGAGUGUACGGACACAUUGGGACUGAGACACGGCCCAAACUCGACGGGAGGCAGCAGUGGGGAAUUUUGCACAAUGGGGGAAACCCUGAUGCAGCGACGCCGCGUGAUUUAGAAGGCCUGCGGGUUGUAAAAAUCUUUUUUAUGGGAUGCAGUACCAUAAGAAUAAGGUCCGGCUAAAUACGUGCCAGCCGCCGCGGUAAUUC
rnacentral:rRNA from 1 species